AGCUCCAAUAGCGUAUAUUAAAGUUGCUGCAGUUAAAAAGCUCGUAGUUGCAUUUCCGAGGCAAGGGAUUAGUCCGACCUUUGGUGGGUAUUUAAUCCUCUUGCCUCGUCCUUGAGUGGUGCUUCUUGGUAUUAAGUUAUCGAGGAGAUAGCCGCUCAUCGUUUACUGUGAGAAAAUUAGAGUGUUCAAAGCAGGCUUAUGCCGUUGAAUAUAUUAGCAUGAAAUAAUAAGAUAGGACCUCGGUACUAUUUUGUUGGUUUGAGAACCAAGGUAAUGAUGAAUAGGGACAGUUGGGAGUAUUCGUAUUCAGUUGUCAGAGGUGAAAUUCUUAGAUUUACGGAAGACGAACUACUGCGAAAGCAUUUACCAAGGAUGUUUUCA
rnacentral:rRNA from 1 species